rnacentral:lncRNA from 1 species
GGGUCCGAAACCAAGGCGGGCUGCCAGGUGGGGCUGGACCACGGCUGUUCACCAGAACGGGCGUUGCCGGCCUGAGACUGGCGCGGUUGGCGAAGACAGCGAUGGCUGCUACGUGCAACUUCCACGUUCCCGGCCUGCCCUGGAGCUGACGGCGCUGACGGCUCCUGGGCCGGGAUCCGGCUCCCGGCCCACCCAGGCCAAGCUGCUGGCUAAGAAGCGCGUGGUGCGAAUGUUGCUGGUGAUCG